UGUUUAGGUUUUUUGUUUAUUUUCCUGCAAGUACUGUAAGUGAAGUUAAAAUUUAUGAUUAAAAUGAAACUAAGCCAAAACGAAUUAUUAGCCCUCGCAGUAAUUGUAAUUUCGACCAUUGGUUUACUGAGUUUGAAAAAACAGAAAAAAAAAAGAUGUGUUCGAAGAUUUGGUGUACGUCCUAUAAAUCGAAAUAGACCAGCAGAUGGGAAUUUCAGUCUGAUUAAAGCAAUGGCUACAAAAGAUAGAGAUUAUUUUUUCAAGUACACCAGAAUGUCUCCGGAAAUGUUCACAAAUCUGUUGAGAUUGGUUGGCCACAAACUAGAGAAACAAAAAACCACCAAGAACCCAAUUGAAGCCAGUGAAAGAUUAAUUAUCACUUUGCAUUAUUUAUCAGAAGGUUGUUCUUAGCAGGAGUUGGCUUUUGGAUACCGCAUUGGAUUUUCUAUUGUGUCAACAAUCAUAAAAGAAACUGUUAAAGUCCUUUACGAAACACUUCAACCCAUUGUUAUGCCUAUACCAGUAAAGGAAGACUGGAGCAGAAUUGCUACUGGUUUCUGGAGACGCUGAAACAUUCCAAAUUGUUUGGGUGCAGUUGAUGGCAAGCAUGUGUCAAUAAAAUGUCCAGUUGCAAGCCAUUCUACCUAUUACAAUUAUAAAAAUCAUUUUAGUUUGGUGUUAAUUGCGAUGCAUUUUACAAAUUUGUAGUAGUGGAUGUAGGUGGUGAAGGAAGUAAUCCUGAUGGGGCUAUUUUUAGAAAUUCUGGGUUUGGUCGUCUUUUGUUGGAAGGUAAAAUAGAUAUACCUGGGUCAAAAACAUUAUCCAAUUCUAGCAUCAAUUUGCCCCAUUUUAUGGUAGCGAAUGCAGCAUUUCCGCUUUAUAAUAAUACAGGGUCCGGCAAAAUGAUCUCCCACAUUUUAAUUUUUAAUAAAAACGCCAAUGUAAAUGCUAUUUAUAUUUUAUUUUUAUUAAGUUUUGAAAAUUACAGAGUCCAAGUGGCGACUAUUUCUUUCGACACACAUUCGAAGCUGAUUUCUGAAAGUUUCCAUUAGUCGAGCAGUAAUUUGAGGCGAUAUUCCUGUAAUUUCUUGGCGUAUUGCUGCUUUCAAUUCGUCAAUGGUACGGGGAUGAUGUUGCAAAACCUUCUCUUUCAGGUACCCCCAAAGGAAAAAGUCGCAUGGGGCAAGAUUGGGUGAACGCGCAGGCCACCCAACGUUUCCACGUAACGAGAUUACGCGUCCUGGAAACAUUUCCCUUAACAGGUCCAUUGUCCUUCUUGCCGUAUGAGCUGUAGCCCCAUCCUGUUGAAACCACACAUCCGGAUGUUCAAGUUCCCUAAGUUUUGGUUCCAAAAAAUUACGUAGCGUGUCGACAUAUCGAUCAGCACCGUAACUGCUAACCGUUACCCCUCCUUCUUCAAAAAAAUAGGGACCCCAAACACCAAAAGAACCAACAGCACACCAAACGGUAACACGUUGGCUGUGAAGUGGCCUUUCAUGGAGCUGCCGCGGAUUUUCUGGUGCCCAGUAGCGAAAAUUCUGCUUGUUCACACAGCCAGACAAAUGGAAAUGAGCCUCGUCACUCGUUAUUAAAAGCGCAUUUUGUGGGAGGUUUUGAAGAGUAUCAUUGGAACAUUCUCGGCGAUUUUCCCAGUCCCGUCCACUAAGUUCUUGCACGAUCAUCAUUUUGUAUGGGUGGAACUUCAUAUCGGUGUGCAAAAUUUUUCUCACAGAACGAUCUGACAAACGCAAAGCAGAGGCAUGUUUAACAGCUGAACGUCUAGGAGAUCGUUCAACUGCUUCUCUUACAGCUGCAAUGUUUUCAGGUAUCCGAACACUUCUGGGUCUACCAGUUGAUUUUCUUCUUAAGGCUGAACCUGUAGCUCUAAAAUUUGAAACCCACAACAGUAUUGUUUUGCGAUCUGGAACUGGAUCAUGUCUAUCAAGCGCGAAGUGAGUACGAAAAUUUAUUUGUGUCGUAAUCACAGAUUCGUUACUUUUGAAAAAUGUUUCGAUAACGAAGGCACGAUGCUCGCCCGUCCAGUUCAUGGCGACAAAAGAAAUGGCAAGGCGCGCGCAGCCAACCGACUACGCUAAGCUGGCUCCCUCUUUAGUGAUUCGGGCUCAGUGGCGGCGCAAAAUGUGUCCAAAGGUAUUCUUGUCCAAAGAUAAAAAAUUUUUCUCAAACCAAUGGAGAUCCAUAUUGACAAUUCUGAAAAUAUAAUGUUGGCUACCAUUGUUCUCCACAAUUAUAUCCAAAAAUCUGAAGAUGAUUUACCUAUUUAUGAGAGAAAAUAUUGUCCAAUUGUAUAUUUAAUGAAAAUAGUGAGAUAUCUUUGGGCAGGUGGAGAAAUAAUGCAACAAAUUGGAAAAGUUGGAAGAAUGGGAGCUAAUAAUUCAAAAAAAAAAAGACGAAAGAUAAUAGAGAUAGCUUGAAAGAUUUUUUUCUAUCGCCUGAAGGAUCUUUGUCAUGGCAAUAUGAUUAUGUUAUGAGAGGUUCUGCACCUGAACAUUUUAUGUAAUUUAUUUUAAGUGCCGCAUUUGUAAUAGUUUAAAUAAUAAUAAAAUAUGUUGUGUAUAAAAGAUUA